AUGACAGAAAGCAUUAAAGAACUGCUGCUCACAAAGUGUUAUGAAACACUGUCUCCUGAUACAUCACUGAGCAGCUGGGAAACAGAAGCAAUCUUCCCUGGAGCUACCAAGCCAAGAAACACCACUACUCCACUAUAGUAUGAGAGUCCAUGUGGAGGGGAUUCAAGGUAUCCCAGCCUACAGUCAACACCAAUUGUCAAACAUGAAUGAGAGCAAAGCCAUCUUAGUCCAUUCAAGCACUACUGGGAUGCCAGCUGAUCACAGCCACAUGAUCCAAGAGGAGAUGGACAGUACAUUGUGGACUCAUAAGAACAUUGAACAUUACCAUGGGAGAGUGAAAAUACAGGAAGGACAUUGAGUAUUGGUCCUUGAGGAGCAAGAACCAUGAAAUGCAGCAGGAAAAGGAGAAGCCAGAGAUGUCUUUUUCCACAGGAAAAUCAGAAGAGUUGCCCUGGCUUCCCAGGAGGAAAGUGAAAGUCAACAAUGGCAGGAAAAGAUGGCCUGGAGCUAAAUGGGAGCAUGCCUUCUGACCAUAUCCUCUCUGACAAGAAGUGGCCGAAUGUCUGCGUACACACCUUCUAGAACAGUGAAUUAAGGAAAGAAUAACUUCUCUGACAACUCUCUUUGAUGAUAUGCAAUUGCUGUUUAUCCUGUAUCUGUUAAUAGAAUAUAAAGAAUGCCUUGAAAAAAGAAA